ACAGCCAUAUCACAUUGAAACACCAGUUCUCAUACAAUCCCCAAAGUUAAGCAACACUGAACCUGGUCAGUACUUACAUAAGUGGCCAAUUGGGAAUACCAGGUGCU